UCUUAGUGGCGGACGGGUGAGUAACGCGUGGGUAACCUGCCUUACACAGGGGGAUAACACCUGGAAACAGGUACUAAUACCGCAUAAGCGCACAGGGCCGCAUGGCUCGGUGUGAAAAACUCCGGUGGUGUAAGAUGGACACGCGUCUGAUUAGCUUGUUGGCGGGGUAGGGGCCCACCAAGGCGACGAUCAGUAGCCGGCCUGAGAGGGUGGACGGCCACAUUGGGACUGAGACACGGCCCAAACUCCUACGGAAGGCAGCAG
rnacentral:rRNA from 1 species